rnacentral:rRNA from 1 species
CGACUCUCGGCAACGGAUAUCUCUGCUCUCGCAUCGAGGAAGAACGUAGCGAAAUGCGAUACUUGGUGUGAAUUGCAGAAUCCCGUGAACCAUCGAGUCUUUGAACGCAAGUUGCGCCUGAAGCCGUCAGGCCGGGGGCACGUUUGCCUGGGUGUCACG